GCGCUCGCCUCAGCAACACACAUACUAAAAUAGGAAUGAUACAGAGAAAAUUAACAUGGCUCCUGCACAAGGUUGACAUGCAAAUUCAUGAAGUAUGCCAUAUUUUU